rnacentral:rRNA from 1 species
CCCUUAGAUGUCCUGGGCCGCACGCGCGCUACACUGAGUGUCUGAGAUACGAGUCUGCCUGGUCCGGCAAGGUCUAGGUAAUCGCUAAAAGACACAUCAUGCUUGGGAUAGAUUAUUGCAAAUAUUAAUCUUGAACGCGGAAUUCCUAGUAAGCGCAAGUCAACAGCUUGCGUUGAUUACGUCCCUGCCCUUUGUACACACCGCCCGUCGCUACUACUGAUUGGAUGUUUAAGCGAGGUUCUCGAACUGCUAGCGACUUAGCUUCGGUGAGGUCGCAGUGUGGGAAGUGAACCUAGCUUUGGUGUCUAGAGGAAGUAAAAGUCGUAACA